rnacentral:tRNA from 1 species
GGAGGGGUGGUCGAGUGGUUGAUGGCUCCGGUCUUGAAAACCGGCGAGGGUAAUACCUCCGUGGGUUCGAAUCCCACCCCCUCCG